rnacentral:rRNA from 1 species
AUUGAACGCUGGCGGCCGGCCUAACACAUGCAAGUCGAACGAGUGGCGGACGGGUGAGUAAUGUCAGGGUAAACGCCUGAUGGAGUGGGAUUACUACUGGAAACGGUAGCUAAUACCGCAUAACCUAAGCUGUGCCAGGAUGGGCUUGGCUAGUUGGUGGGGAAACGGCUUACUAAGUCGACGAUCCCUAGCUGGUCUUAGGGGAUCAACAGCACCACUGGAACUGAGACACGGCCCAGACUCCGACGGUAGGAAGCAGUGAGGAAAAUUGCACAAUGGGGGCAGGCCGUAUGCAGCCAUGCCGCGUGUAUGAAGAAGCCCUUCGGGUUGUAAAGUACUUUCAGCGGGGAGGCGUUACCCGCAGAAGAAGCACCGGCUAACUCCGAGCCAGCCGCCGCGGUAAUAC